CAGCAGCCACGGUAAUACGUAGGGUGCAAGCGUUAAUCGGAAUUACUGGGCGUAAAGCGUGCGCAGGCGGCUUCUUAAGUCGGAUGUGAAAUCCCUGAGCUUAACUUAGGAAUUGCAUUCGAUACUGGGAAGCUAGAGUAUGGGAGAGGAUGGUAGAAUUCCAGUUGUAGCGGUGAAAUGCGUAGAGAUCUGGAGGAAUACCGAUGGCGAAGGCAGCCAUCUGGCCUAAUACUGACGCUGAGGUACGAAAGCAUGGGGAGCAAACAGGAUUAGAUACCCCUGUAGUCCCUGUCUCUUAUAA
rnacentral:rRNA from 1 species